AACCUCCGCAAUGUGAGAAAUCGCGACGGGGGGAUCCCAAGUGUCAUUCUUAACGGGAUGGCUUUUCAUUAGUGUAAAGAGCUUUUGGAAUAAGGGCUGGGCAAGACCGGUGCCAGCCGCCGCGGUAACGCCGGCAGCUCUAGUGGUAGCAGUUUUUAUUGGGCCUAAAGCGUCCGUAGCCGGUUUAAUAAGUCUCUGGUGAAAUCCUGUAGCUUAACUGUGGGAAUUGCUGGAGAUACUAUUAGACUUGAGACCGGGAGAGGUUAGAGGUACUCCCAGGGUAGAGGUGAAAUUCUGUAAUCCUGGGAGGACCGCCUGUUGCGAAGGCGUCUAACUGGAACGGUUCUGACGGUGAGGGACGAAAGUUAGGGCGCGAACCGGAUUAGAUACCCGGGUAGCCCUAACUGUAAACGAUGCGGACUUGGUGUUGGGGUGGCUUUGAGCUGCUCAGUGCCGAAGGGAAGCUGUUAAGUCCGCCGCCUGGGAAGUACGGUCGCAAGACUGAAACUUAAAGGAAGU
rnacentral:rRNA from 1 species